rnacentral:sRNA from 1 species
UCAGUUUGUAAAACUGCGCCUACGCAAUC